rnacentral:tRNA from 1 species
GAGGGAGAUGAAUAAGUACGACUUUUAGGAAGUUGUGAUUAUUUAUUACUCCUUUU